AGAGUUUGAUCAUGGCUCAGAUUGAACGCUGGCGGCAGGCCUAACACAUGCAAGUCGAACGGUAACAGGAAGCAGCUUGCUGCUUUGCUGACGAGUGGCGGACGGGUGAGUAAUGUCUGGGAAACUGCCUGAUGGAGGGGGAUAACUACUGGAAACGGUAGCUAAUACCGCAUAAUGUCGCAAGACCAAAGAGGGGGACCUUCGGGCCUCUUGCCAUCGGAUGUGCCCAGAUGGGAUUAGCUAGUAGGUGGGGUAACGGCUCACCUAGGCGACGAUCCCUAGCUGGUCUGAGAGGAUGACCAGCCACACUGGAACUGAGACACGGUCCAGACUCCUACGGGAGGCAGCAGUGGGGAAUAUUGCACAAUGGGCGCAAGCCUGAUGCAGCCAUGCCGCGUGUAUGAAGAAGGCCUUCGGGUUGUAAAGUACUUUCAGCGGGGAGGAAGGCGAUAAGGUUAAUAACCUUGUCGAUUGACGUUACCCGCAGAAGAAGCACCGGCUAACUCCGUGCCAGCAGCCGCGGUAAUACGGAGGGUGCAAGCGUUAAUCGGAAUUACUGGGCGUAAAGCGCACGCAGGCGGUCUGUCAAGUCGGAUGUGAAAUCCCCGGGCUCAACCUGGGAACUGCAUUCGAAACUGGCAGGCUAGAGUCUUGUAGAGGGGGGUAGAAUUCCAGGUGUAGCGGUGAAAUGCGUAGAGAUCUGGAGGAAUACCGGUGGCGAAGGCGGCCCCCUGGACAAAGACUGACGCUCAGGUGCGAAAGCGUGGGGAGCAAACAGGAUUAGAUACCCUGGUAGUCCACGCCGUAAACGAUGUCGACUUGGAGGUUGUGCCCUUGAGGCGUGGCUUCCGGAGCUAACGCGUUAAGUCGACCGCCUGGGGAGUACGGCCGCAAGGUUAAAACUCAAAUGAAUUGACGGGGGCCCGCACAAGCGGUGGAGCAUGUGGUUUAAUUCGAUGCAACGCGAAGAACCUUACCUACUCUUGACAUCCAGAGAACUUUCCAGAGAUGGAUUGGUGCCUUCGGGAACUCUGAGACAGGUGCUGCAUGGCUGUCGUCAGCUCGUGUUGUGAAAUGUUGGGUUAAGUCCCGCAACGAGCGCAACCCUUAUCCUUUGUUGCCAGCGGUUAGGCCGGGAACUCAAAGGAGACUGCCAGUGAUAAACUGGAGGAAGGUGGGGAUGACGUCAAGUCAUCAUGGCCCUUACGAGUAGGGCUACACACGUGCUACAAUGGCGCAUACAAAGAGAAGCGACCUCGCGAGAGCAAGCGGACCUCAUAAAGUGCGUCGUAGUCCGGAUUGGAGUCUGCAACUCGACUCCAUGAAGUCGGAAUCGCUAGUAAUCGUGGAUCAGAAUGCCACGGUGAAUACGUUCCCGGGCCUUGUACACACCGCCCGUCACACCAUGGGAGUGGGUUGCAAAAGAAGUAGGUAGCUUAACCUUCGGGAGGGCGCUUACCACUUUGUGAUUCAUGACUGGGGUGAAGUCGUAACAAGGUAACCGUAGGGGAACCUGCGGUUGGAUCACCU
rnacentral:rRNA from 5 species